GGUUAAGCGACUAAGCGUACACGGUGGAUGCCCUGGCAGUCAGAGGCGAUGAAGGACGUGCUAAUCUGCGAUAAGCGUCGGUAAGGUGAUAUGAACCGUUAUAACCGGCGAUUUCCGAAUGGGGAAACCCAGUGUGUUUCGACACACUAUCAUUAACUGAAUCCAUAGGUUAAUGAGGCGAACCGGGGGAACUGAAACAUCUAAGUACCCCGAGGAAAAGAAAUCAACCGAGAUUCCCCCAGUAGCGGCGAGCGAACGGGGAGCAGCCCAGAGCCUGAAUCAGUGUGUGUGUUAGUGGAAGCGUCUGGAAAGGCGCGCGAUACAGGGUGACAGCCCCGUACACAAAAAUGCACAUGCUGUGAGCUCGAUGAGUAGGGCGGGACACGUGGUAUCCUGUCUGAAUAUGGGGGGACCAUCCUCCAAGGCUAAAUACUCCUGACUGACCGAUAGUGAACCAGUACCGUGAGGGAAAGGCGAAAAGAACCCCGGCGAGGGGAGUGAAAAAGAACCUGAAACCGUGUACGUACAAGCAGUGGGAGCACGCUUAGGCGUGUGACUGCGUACCUUUUGUAUAAUGGGUCAGCGACUUAUAUUCUGUAGCAAGGUUAACCGAAUAGGGGAGCCGAAGGGAAACCGAGUCUUAACUGGGCGUUAAGUUGCAGGGUAUAGACCCGAAACCCGGUGAUCUAGCCAUGGGCAGGUUGAAGGUUGGGUAACACUAACUGGAGGACCGAACCGACUAAUGUUGAAAAAUUAGCGGAUGACUUGUGGCUGGGGGUGAAAGGCCAAUCAAACCGGGAGAUAGCUGGUUCUCCCCGAAAGCUAUUUAGGUAGCGCCUCGUGAAUUCAUCUCCGGGGGUAGAGCACUGUUUCGGCAAGGGGGUCAUCCCGACUUACCAACCCGAUGCAAACUGCGAAUACCGGAGAAUGUUAUCACGGGAGACACACGGCGGGUGCUAACGUCCGUCGUGAAGAGGGAAACAACCCAGACCGCCAGCUAAGGUCCCAAAGUCAUGGUUAAGUGGGAAACGAUGUGGGAAGGCCCAGACAGCCAGGAUGUUGGCUUAGAAGCAGCCAUCAUUUAAAGAAAGCGUAAUAGCUCACUGGUCGAGUCGGCCUGCGCGGAAGAUGUAACGGGGCUAAACCAUGCACCGAAGCUGCGGCAGCGACGCUGAUGCGUUGUUGGGUAGGGGAGCGUUCUGUAAGCCUGCGAAGGUGUGCUGUGAGGCAUGCUGGAGGUAUCAGAAGUGCGAAUGCUGACAUAAGUAACGAUAAAGCGGGUGAAAAGCCCGCUCGCCGGAAGACCAAGGGUUCCUGUCCAACGUUAAUCGGGGCAGGGUGAGUCGACCCCUAAGGCGAGGCCGAAAGGCGUAGUCGAUGGGAAACAGGUUAAUAUUCCUGUACUUGGUGUUACUGCGAAGGGGGGACGGAGAAGGCUAUGUUGGCCGGGCGACGGUUGUCCCGGUUUAAGCGUGUAGGCUGGUUUUCCAGGCAAAUCCGGAAAAUCAAGGCUGAGGCGUGAUGACGAGGCACUACGGUGCUGAAGCAACAAAUGCCCUGCUUCCAGGAAAAGCCUCUAAGCAUCAGGUAACAUCAAAUCGUACCCCAAACCGACACAGGUGGUCAGGUAGAGAAUACCAAGGCGCUUGAGAGAACUCGGGUGAAGGAACUAGGCAAAAUGGUGCCGUAACUUCGGGAGAAGGCACGCUGAUAUGUAGGUGAAGUCCCUCGCGGAUGGAGCUGAAAUCAGUCGAAGAUACCAGCUGGCUGCAACUGUUUAUUAAAAACACAGCACUGUGCAAACACGAAAGUGGACGUAUACGGUGUGACGCCUGCCCGGUGCCGGAAGGUUAAUUGAUGGGGUUAGCGCAAGCGAAGCUCUUGAUCGAAGCCCCGGUAAACGGCGGCCGUAACUAUAACGGUCCUAAGGUAGCGAAAUUCCUUGUCGGGUAAGUUCCGACCUGCACGAAUGGCGUAAUGAUGGCCAGGCUGUCUCCACCCGAGACUCAGUGAAAUUGAACUCGCUGUGAAGAUGCAGUGUACCCGCGGCAAGACGGAAAGACCCCGUGAACCUUUACUAUAGCUUGACACUGAACAUUGAGCCUUGAUGUGUAGGAUAGGUGGGAGGCUUGGAAGUGUGGACGCCAGUCUGCAUGGAGCCGACCUUGAAAUACCACCCUUUAAUGUUUGAUGUUCUAACGUUGACCCGUAAUCCGGGUUGCGGACAGUGUCUGGUGGGUAGUUUGACUGGGGCGGUCUCCUCCUAAAGAGUAACGGAGGAGCACGAAGGUUGGCUAAUCCUGGUCGGACAUCAGGAGGUUAGUGCAAUGGCAUAAGCCAGCUUGACUGCGAGCGUGACGGCGCGAGCAGGUGCGAAAGCAGGUCAUAGUGAUCCGGUGGUUCUGAAUGGAAGGGCCAUCGCUCAACGGAUAAAAGGUACUCCGGGGAUAACAGGCUGAUACCGCCCAAGAGUUCAUAUCGACGGCGGUGUUUGGCACCUCGAUGUCGGCUCAUCACAUCCUGGGGCUGAAGUAGGUCCCAAGGGUAUGGCUGUUCGCCAUUUAAAGUGGUACGCGAGCUGGGUUUAGAACGUCGUGAGACAGUUCGGUCCCUAUCUGCCGUGGGCGCUGGAGAACUGAGGGGGGCUGCUCCUAGUACGAGAGGACCGGAGUGGACGCAUCACUGGUGUUCGGGUUGUCAUGCCAAUGGCACUGCCCGGUAGCUAAAUGCGGAAGAGAUAAGUGCUGAAAGCAUCUAAGCACGAAACUUGCCCCGAGAUGAGUUCUCCCUGACUCCUUGAGAGUCCUGAAGGAACGUUGAAGACGACGACGUUGAUAGGCCGGGUGUGUAAGCGCAGCGAUGCGUUGAGCUAACCGGUACUAAUGAACCGUGAGGCUUAACCUU
rnacentral:rRNA from 1 species